rnacentral:rRNA from 1 species
CCUACGGGAGGCAGCAGUGAGGAAUAUUGGUCAAUGGGCGUAAGCCUGAACCAGCCAAGUCGCGUGAGGGAUGAAGGUUCUAUGGAUCGUAAACCUCUUUUAUAAGGGAAUAAAGUGUGGGACGUGUCCUAUUUUGUAUGUACCUUAUGAAUAAGGAUCGGCUAACUCCGUGCCAGCAGCCGCGGUAAUACGGAGGAUCCGAGCGUUAUCCGGAUUUAUUGGGUUUAAAGGGUGCGUAGGCGGCCUUUUAAGUCAGCGGUGAAAGUCUGGGGCUCAACCAUAGGAUUGCCGUUGAAACUGGGGGGCUGGAGUAAGUUUGAGGGAGGCGGAAUGCGUGGUGGAGCGGGGAAAUGCUU